UACGAAGGGGGCUAGCGUUGUUCGGAAUUACUGGGCGUAAAGCGCACGUAGGCGGCGACCCAAGUCAGAUGUGAAAGUCCUGGGCUUAACCUGGGGACUGCAUUUGAUACUGGGUUGCUUGAAUUCGGGAGAGGAUAGCGGAAUUCCCAGUGUAGAGGUGAAAUUCGUAGAUAUUGGGAAGAACACCGGUGGCGAAGGCGGCUAUCUGGACCGACAUUGACGCUGAGGCGCGAAAGCGUGGGGAGCAAACAGG
rnacentral:rRNA from 1 species